rnacentral:misc_RNA from 1 species
UCAACCAUCAAGCCCGGCUUGUCAUUGAGCCCUCGGCCCGUCACACGGCCAGCUCGAAAGACAGUGGCAGAGUCGGUCGGACCCUAGAUGCAACGAGCUCUAAGCACGCAUUGAAGUGGCCGGCCCCCUCUCGCCUGGACACACGUUUCCAA